rnacentral:rRNA from 1 species
UAUGUGAUCGUCUCUCGCAUAUCAAUAAGCGGAGGAAAAGAAACUAACAAGGAUUCCCCUAGUAACGGCGAGUGAAGCGGGAAGAGCUCAAAUUUGAAAUCUUAAAGGGUUUCCCUUUACGAAUUGUAGUUUAAAGAAGUGUUUUCUGUUGAGGUUUUGGUAAAAGUUCUUUGGAAUAGGACAUCAUAGAGGGUGAGAAUCCCGUAUUUGACCUUUACUUUCAACUUUGUGAUACACUUUCAAAGAGUCGGAUUGUUUGGGAAUGCAGUCCAAAAUGGGUGGUAAAUUUCAUCUAAAGCUAAAUAUUGGCGAGAGACCGAUAGCGAACAAGUACCGUGAGGGAAAGAUGAAAAGAACUUUGAAAAGAGAGUUAAACAGUACGUGAAAUUGUCAAAAGGGAAGCGUUUGACACCAGUGUUGUUUUUCUGAAAAUCAAUUAAAGAACUGUUUAUGCUAAGUUGUUUAGACUUUAUCAGCUAACUGUUUAGUUUUGAGCUUUUCUUUAAUGCACUUUUCAGUUAACAAGUCAACAUCAAUUUCUUUUGCUGUAAAAAAGCUUGAGGAAGGUGGCUUGAGAUUCGUCUUAAGUGUUUAUAGCCUCUUGCCUAUGCAGUCGGAGAGAUUGAGGUCUGCAGCGUAGAUCCUUCGGGGCUAAAUGUAUUUGUGCUAAGUUAUAGCAUUUUAUAGACAACUUGUUGACUACGAUUUGUCUUGUAGCUUACUCGCUUAUGUUAUUUUACCUACGCUUAGGAUGUUGACACACGCGCGUGCUCG